GAUGAACGCUAGCGGCAGGCCUAAUACAUGCAAGUCGAACGGUGUCUUCGGACAUAGUGGCGCACGGGUGCGUAACACGUAUGCAACCUACCCUACAUUAGGGGAUAGCCUUUCGAAAGGGAGAUUAAUACCGCAUAAGACAGUAGCUGGGCAUCCAGCAGCUGUUAAAGAUUUAUCGAUGUAAGCUGGGCAUGCGUCCAAUUAGCUAGUUGGUGAGGUAACGGCUCACCAAGGCAAUGAUUGGUAGGGGAACUGAGAGGUCAAUCCCCCACACUGGCACUGAGAUACGGGCCAGACUCCUACGGGAGGCAGCAGUAGGGAAUAUUGGGCAAUGGACGCAAGUCUGACCCAGCCAUGCCGCGUGCAGGAUGAAGGCGUUAUGCGUUGUAAACUGCUUUUAUACAGGAAGAAACGACUCUUGCGAGAGGCAUUGACGGUACUGUAUGAAUAAGCACCGGCUAACUCCGUACCAGCCGCCGCAGUAACAC
rnacentral:rRNA from 1 species